rnacentral:rRNA from 1 species
UACAGAGGUGGCAAGCGUUGUUCGGAAUCACUGGGCAUAAAGGGCGCGUAGGCGGCGAGGCAAGUCGGGUGUGAAAUCCCUCAGCUCAACUGAGGAACUGCGCCCGAAACUACCUUGCUAGAGUGCAGGAGAGGAGAGUGGAACUCCUAGUGGAGCGGUGAAAUGCGUAGAGAUUAGGAGGAACGCCGGUGGCGAAAGCGACUCUCUGGCCUGUAACUGACGCUGAGGCGCGAAAGCGUGGGGAGCGAACAGG